GACGAACGCUGGCGGCGUGCUUAACACAUGCAAGUCGAGCGGUAAGGCCCUUUCGGGGUACGACGAGCGGCGAACGGGUGAGUAACACGUGGGUGACCUGCCCUCAGCUCUGGGAUAAGCCUGGGAAACUGGGUCUAAUACCGGAUAUGACUCCAUGACGCAUGUUGUGGGGUGGAAAGCCUUGUGCGGCUGAGGAUGGGCCCGCGGCCUAUCAGCUUGUUGGUGGGGUGAGGCCUACCAAGGCGACGACGGGUAGCCGGCCUGAGAGGGCGACCGGCCACACUGGGACUGAGACACGGCCCAGACUCCUACGGGAGGCAGCAGUGGGGAAUCUUGCGCAAUGGGCGAAAGCCUGACGCAGCGACG
rnacentral:rRNA from 1 species